CAAAGUCCAAGACGCAGGCGGCCAAGGAAGAGUCCCACCCGUCGAAAUUUUGAAAGGCGCGAGCACCAGAAGCAAUUUCGGCUUGCUUUUGGACAUCUCAACCGACACUUUUGUUAGGUGUGAAAACUCAUGCUGAUGGCGUAUUUGCGUUGGCAAAUUUAAUGGAUGAUUUGCUUGUCUUUAUCGCGUGGUCGGCAUCUUAUCAGUUGGGUUUCGAUGUCUC
rnacentral:lncRNA from 1 species